AGAGGAUGAGCAAAGCAAUAGAAAUAAUGAUUACACAUGUAGAUACAAUACGUAUGGUGCAUGAACGGGUCAACUCAGAACUGGAAGAGGCUAGAAAAUUGUUACAAGACAGUCGUCCUUUCGGAAGUGCUGGUUUAGAGAUAGGUGAUUUUCCACACAUGAGUAAACGAUCUUUGUCCCUCUCACAGCAAGGCCAAGGGUUCCAGUCACGGGUACGUUAUCAC